rnacentral:rRNA from 1 species
CUACGGGUCGCAGCAGUGAGGAAUAUUGGUCAAUGGGCGCGAGCCUGAACCAGCCAUCCCGCGUGCAGGAUGACGGCCCUAUGGGUUGUAAACUGCUUUUCUAUGCCAAGAAACCUGAUUACGUGUAAUCAGUUGCCGGUAGCAUAGGAAUAAGCAUCGGCUAACUCCGUGCCAGCAGCCGCGGUAAUACGGAGGAUGCAAGCGUUAUCCGGAUUCAUUGGGUUUAAAGGGUGCGCAGGUGGGCUUGUAAGUCAGUGGUGAAAUGCUGCCGCUUAACGGUAGAACUGCCAUUGAUACUGCGAGUCUUGAGGAUGGUUGAGGUAGGCGGAAUGUGUUGUGUAGCGGUGAAAUGCAUAGAUAUGACACAGAACGCCAAUUGCGAAGGCAGCUUACUAAGCCAUUACUGACGCUGAGGCACGAAAGCGUGGGGAGCGAACAGGAUUAGAUACCCUAGUAGUC